rnacentral:rRNA from 1 species
AGUCGUACGCACUGGCCCAACUGAUUGAUGGUGCUUGCACCUGAUUGACGAUGGAUCACCAGUGAGUGGCGGACGGGUGAGUAACACGUAGGUAACCUGCCCCGGAGCGGGGGAUAACAUUUGGAAACAGAUGCUAAUACCGCAUAACAACAAAAGCCACAUGGCUUUUGUUUGAAAGAUGGCUUUGGCUAUCACUCUGGGAUGGACCUGCGGUGCAUUAGCUAGUUGGUAAGGUAACGGCUUACCAAGGCGAUGAUGCAUAGCCGAGUUGAGAGACUGAUCGGCCACAAUGGAACUGAGACACGGUCCAUACUCCUACGGGAGGCAGCAGUAGGGAAUCUUCCACAAUGGGCGCAAGCCUGAUGGAGCAACACCGCGUGAGUGAAGAAGGGUUUCGGCUCGUAAAGCUCUGUUGUUGGAGAAGAACGUGCGUGAGAGUAACUGUUCACGCAGUGACGGUAUCCAACCAGAAAGUCACGGCUAACUACGUGCCAGCAGCCGCGGUAAUACGUAGGUGGCAAGCGUUAUCCGGAUUUAUUGGGCGUAAAGCGAGCGCAGGCGGUUGCUUAGGUCUGAUGUGAAAGCCUUCGGCUUAACCGAAGAAGUGCAUCGGAAACCGGGCGACUUGAGUGCAGAAGAGGACAGUGGAACUCCAUGUGUAGCGGUGGAAUGCGUAGAUAUAUGGAAGAACACCAGUGGCGAAGGCGGCUGUCUGGUCUGCAACUGACGCUGAGGCUCGAAAGCAUGGGUAGCGAACAGGAUUAGAUACCCUGGUAGUCCAUGCCGUAAACGAUGAGUGCUAGGUGUUGGAGGGUUUCCGCCCUUCAGUGCCGGAGCUAACGCAUUAAGCACUCCGCCUGGGGAGUACGACCGCAAGGUUGAAACUCAAAGGAAUUGACGGGGGCCCGCACAAGCGGUGGAGCAUGUGGUUUAAUUCGAAGCUACGCGAAGAACCUUACCAGGUCUUGACAUCUUGCGCUAACCUUAGAGAUAAGGCGUUCCCUUCGGGGACGCAAUGACAGGUGGUGCAUGGUCGUCGUCAGCUCGUGUCGUGAGAUGUUGGGUUAAGUCCCGCAACGAGCGCAACCCUUGUUACUAGUUGCCAGCAUUAAGUUGGGCACUCUAGUGAGACUGCCGGUGACAAACCGGAGGAAGGUGGGGACGACGUCAGAUCAUCAUGCCCCUUAUGACCUGGGCUACACACGUGCUACAAUGGACGGUACAACGAGUCGCAAGCUCGCGAGAGUAAGCUAAUCUCUUAAAGCCGUUCUCAGUUCGGACUGUAGGCUGCAACUCGCCUACACGAAGUCGGAAUCGCUAGUAAUCGCGGAUCAGCAUGCCGCGGUGAAUACGUUCCCGGGCCUUGUACACACCGCCCGUCACACCAUGGGAGUUUGUAACGCCCAAAGUCGGUGGCCUAACCA